GCCGGGAUGGCCGAGUGGAUUAACCUCAUAAUUGAGGCUUACGGGUCUCGUGGGUUCGAAUCCCACUCCCGGCGCCA
rnacentral:tRNA from 1 species